rnacentral:pre_miRNA from 1 species
UGAAGAGGAAGAGGAAACAUAACGAGAGAGCUACUGACAGAAGAGAGUGAGCACACGCAGGUAAUUGUAUUAGAAAAUAUCUUUGCAGGUGCGUGCUCGCUCCUCUUCUGUCAGCGUCAUUUUUGCAAGUGCUUCCUCACAACCCCAGCACGUCGUAACCCCCAGCCCUCUUUUGCUCUUCCUUCUAUCA